rnacentral:lncRNA from 1 species
GACUUGUCUUUUCGGAUAUUUAUCACACGGUGGAGACCCAUUGUGUCCGGGAGUGGAAAUCAGGGAGGCAGGACGUUAGUGGUGUUUCCUGAAACUGGUUCUUUAAAGGGAAGGGGAAUUUCCCUUACAUAAGCCCGCAGCGACUUUCUCCACAGGGUGGGGCAUCCUGUGUUCUGGAGUCUGGGCGCUGGGCGGGAACCUGGGAGCUUUCUCCAGUGGAGCUGAGGCCAAGUCUUGGCUCACAACAUUUCUCCCGGGGAAUCUGCUCCAUCUUCGGUCAUCAUUUACGUUUCUCCGUCACAGUGAAUUAUUUCCAGUGUUCCUGUUCCUCAAGUUUUGUUUUUUUUCGGAGGAAACAGUCGCUCAAGGUUUUAAUCUUCCAUCUUAGGGGAAUGUCCACAGCCCUAAUUAAAAUGGCCGUGGCCGGGCUUGGUGGCUCACGCCUGUAAUCCCAACACUUUGGGAGGCCGAUGCGGGCGGAUCACAAGGUCAGCAGUCUGAGACCAGCCUGGCCAAUAUGGCGAAACCCCAUCUCUACUAAAAAUACAACAAAAUUAGCUGGGCGUGGUGGCGGGCACCUGUACUCCCAGCUUCUCCGGAGGCUGAGGCAGGAGAAUUGCUUGAUCUUGGGAGGCGGAGGUUGCAGUGAGCCGAGAUCACACCACUGCACUCCAGCCUGGGCGACAGAGUGAGACUCCAUCUCAAAAAUAAUAAUAAUAAUGGCUGUAAGGAGCGUGCGUUUCUGAGCCAGUGCUCGCAGGCGUGCAUACGGGGCCUUCUCCUAGCUGCCAUCUGUUACACGGGUCUGUCAUCUCCCCACUUGGAUUUGAGGACUCUUGUCUUUCCUGGGGACACAUGAUUGGAUUACUUCAUCCAGCUUGCUCAGCCUCUGCUCUUCUGAGGAAAGAAGGUCGAGGGAGGGAGACCGUUGGACCAUGGGGGCGGUUUCUCCCAUGCUGUGGUCAUUGAGUUCUCAGGAAAUCUGAUGGUUUUGUAAGUGUUUGGAAGUUCCUCCUUGCUCCACUCUCCUGCUGACUUGUGAAAAAUGUGCCUGCUUCCCCUUCCACCAUGACUGUAAGUUUCCUGAGGCCUCACCAGCCAUGCAGAACUGUAAGUCAAUUAAACCUCUUUCCUUUAUAAAUAACCCAGUCUCGAGUAGCAUCUUUAUAGCAGUGUGAAAGCAGACUAAUACAAUCCCUAUUUUAAGGUCAGCUGAUUAGCAACUUUAAUCCCCCUUUGCCAUGUAAUGUUAAACAUAUUUGUAGUUUCUGUGGAUUAGGAUGUGGACAUCUUUGGGAGACCAUUAUUCUGCCUACCACAGUUGCCAAAAACAAAAAAACAAUGAAGCUAUCCACUGCAACAUCCUUAGUCUGCUUAUUUAUUGGCAUCACUAUGAUUUGCUUAUAAAUUGAAAUGUUUUCUCCAGAUUUUUACCUUUUAUCAAUUACACCAAAUGAAAUAUUUCCCUCAGUCUGCUGUUUUGUUUUUGUAUGAAAUUUAUGUUUCAGUAUUAAGGUCUGUUCAUUUCCUUGUGGUUUUAUUUCUUCAAAACUGAGGACAUGAAUCUUCUUUCACAGAUCUGAUAACACAUUUAUUUUGUGCUUUUUAAUACCAUGUUUAAAUUUAAAUAAAUUCUUCUGAAAUUUGUUUUGAUGUCUUUUAUAAGGGGUACCUCUACCAAUUGUUUUCCCUGAUCUCUAGCCGGUUAUCCUAAUACUAUUUACCUAAUACUAUUUAGUAAACAAUCUCCAUUUGACCUCUUUUCCUUUUUUUUUUUUUUUUUUUUGAGAUGGAGUCUCGCUCUGUCGCCCAGGUUGGAGUGCAAUGGCAUGAUCUCAGCUCACUGCAAGCUCCGCCUCCCAAGUUCAAACGAUUCUUCUGUCUCAGCCUCCUGAGUAACUGCGACUAUAGG